rnacentral:rRNA from 1 species
CCUACGGGUGGCAGCAGUGGGGAAUUUUGGACAAUGGGCGCAAGCCUGAACCAGCUAAUUCGCGUGUGGGAUGACGGCCCUCGGGUUGGUAACCACUUUAGUAGAGAACGAAAAGGAGCUAUCGAAUAACUAGCUCUGCUGACGGUACUCUAAGAAUAAGCACCGGCUAACUACGUGCCAGCAGCCGCGGUAAUACGUAGGGUGCGAGCGGUAAUCGGAAUUAAUGGGCGUAAAGGGUGUGCAGGCGGCUGAGUAAGACAGAUGUGAAAUCUCCGGGCUUAACCUGGGAACCGCAUAUGUGACUGGUUGGCUAGAGUGCGUCAGAGGGAGGUGGAAUGCGAGGUGUAGCAGUGAAAUGCGUAGAUAUGUGGAAGAACACCGAUGGCGAAGGCAGCCUCCUGGGACGCAACUGACGCUCAUACACGAAAGCGUGGGGAGCAAACAGGAUUAGAUACCCGAGUAGUC